UAUAUAUAUAUACACACACACAUGUAAACAUUUCUUAAAUAUAUACAUGCAUAGGUGUGUAUUUAUCUAUACAAAUUUAUUAUGCACAGUACACACAAAUAUAUGAUGUACACAAAAACAUUUAUUCUGCUAUAGAUUAAUAGUGAUUUAUUGUUAUACAUCCCUAUCAUGGACCCAUGAAGAUUGAGUUGAAGAAACUGGACUUUCCAGCACCUACAGGACCGAUCAAUAGGAUUCAAACCCGGUUCACAGACGACACCAGGGGUUUAUUGGCCUUUAUUUAUUUUACAAGAUCUCUUCUGUUAGCUGUAUCAACUGUUUGGAGUUCAAUAGAGAAUAUAUGAUAAUAUUGGUCAUCAGGGGCCUGUUGCACAAAAGUAGAAUUAAGAUAUCCAGGAUAAAUGAGCUCAAUGAAGCCAAAAUAGGUGUGUCCAAUCUUAAUUGUUUGCACAAAGACCAAGCCAGGAUGCGCAGACCUGGAUUCAUCAAGCCAGGAUAAACCAAUCCUGUAAAGUGCACGCUCACGGCUCACUCAAAUAGACCCUGCCACCGAUCACAGAUUUACCAUGGCAACUAGAGCGGUGUCCUUUCCCCGUCAGAGGCACAAAUCCUCAUGGAGGCAUACGAGGAGGUAAAAGAAAUAAUUAAGAAGAAUGGCAACACCGCCACAGUGAUAAAACAAAGAGAAAAGGCGUCGGAAAGCAUUGCAGACCACCUGAAUGUGAACAGCAUGACGUAGGCACACGGCAUACCACGGUUACCGAAACUCUUUCCAUCUUGUUCAGUGACAAAGAUUUGGGGUUAUUGAAGACCUUCCAGCUUGAUGGUUCUAUAGUACAGAUUGAGGAUGCUUCAGUGGCCCUACUUACUGCUGUCCAUGACAAGUUGACAACACUGCUGCUCCGAUGCGUUACGACUAAGUGAUUGUGUAAGUUGUACUUCAGAAGGAGCUGGUCACCACCCAAAACCAACUUCCAGAGGUCUUUCAUGUUUGGAUUAAUGUACAAUUUUGACUGUAAAAAAAAGUUUUGGUUGGCAUGGCCUCCAAACAUUAAAGAGUGAGUUGAUGUAAAAUGUAAUUCUCACUGCAGUAGCUCACAUUAACAAUGUUACUCUGCCUAAUAAUUUGUUAUAGAGACUGCUUUAAAUUUUUUGCGAACCUGACAUUUUUGUCAUGCAGCUGUUAAAGUAAUUGAAACUUCAAGCAUCUCAAAAAGUAUAAGUGUUUUGCUGUACAUUGCUGUUUUUUAGACAUUCCUGGUUCAUUCAACAGUACAUAACUCAUUGAAGAUCUUAAAACUUGCAGUCUUUUAAAGGUUACUUCACUUAUGUUAUUUUGAUUUUGUUUGUUAAAUCAGUGUGAACUCAGAAGACACUAAUUUCUGUUUUAAAACAAUUUUUUGUUCUUAUUGGCUUCUAGGCAUUCCUUGUUAAUUCCACAAUGUAUUUACCAUUGUAAAAAAGUUUCUUGAUAUUUUGCCCUUUAAAGGGUUGCUGUACUGAUGUAGAGUCGGUUUGUUACUUUGCACUCUUUAAAAGCGUUAAUGUACUUAUGUAGAAUCUAACAGACUUGAUUGUUUUUAGGUUGUAUCAAAUUUGUGAUUUUAAUGAAGAGAUGUUUACAUAAACUGUAUUAUGUUUUAAUAUACUGUAAACAUGAGGCUGACUAUUGGGUAUUUUUUGUUCAAAAUAAAUGUCUAAAAUUGUA